rnacentral:rRNA from 1 species
AACGUAGGAGACAAACGUUAUCCGGAGUUACUGGGCGUAAAGGGCGUGUAGGCGGUCUGUUAAGUCUGGCGUGAAAGCUCUCGGCUAAACCGGGAGAGGUCGUUGGAUACUGGCAGACUAGAGGACGGUAGAGGCGUGUGGAAUUCCGGGUGUAGUGGUGAAAUGCGUAGAGAUCCGGAGGAACACCAGUGGCGAAGGCGACGCGCUGGGCCGUACCUGACGCUAAAGCGCGACAGCAUGGGGAGCAAACGGG